AGAAUAACCGAAAAAUUGGUAUGGUACAAAUUUUAUAAAAUAACCGGCUGAACCGAAUCAUUGACACCCUAGUCUAUACCUUCCCAGUUUUUUAGUUAAGUUCACAUGUUCAUAGUUCUUGACUUCUUGGUGAAGGGUGAAGUUCUACUUUGUGCAUUGUAUUUUUGGUUGUCAUGUGAUAACUAAAUAUGAAUAGCUAAUAUGUGACUGAAUUUCUAAUUUGUGUUUUGCCAGUUUGGUAGUCUUGUGAUUGAAUAAUUUUGAAUAACUAAGUUAUGAGAUAAGUAAGUCGAUGUUUAUGUCUUAAAUUUUAAAAUUUCUAUUUUCACUUUGUUAAGUUAUCUUUUAUUUUUCACAUUUACUUUACAAGUUACAUUCCUUAUUUCAAGAGUAAUGUCAUUCUUGUUCUUGGAUAAAAGGCUAGUUUUCUUUCACUUUAUGUCUAAUUAUUUUAAUUAUAUUUCUUCUACUUUAAUGUCCUUUAAAUAUUUAGUUUGCUACUUUAUUGUGUAAAUUGUAGAAGAAUGAAAGAAAUAUUGCCCAUCUUGGAGAAUGUCUAGAACUCUAACUGCUACUUGCUAUGUCUAUGGUUUGAGAAAUUCUGAGAAUGAAAGAUUUGAUUAUUGGUUGCCCUCUACAACCUACUUAUUUUAUUGCAGAGGCUAAAAACUUGGAGAAAACUGGCAAAAACUUUAACAACAACUGCAUGGUUAAGGUUCCCCAUGUCUUUUGGGAUUUAACGACAAAGCAGGUUCUGACGAUGCAGUUUUGCAGAGGUCAUAAGGUAUAGCCUUCAGCCUGCUUC